rnacentral:rRNA from 1 species
CCUACGGGUGGCAGCAGUGAGGAAUAUUGGUCAAUGGACGAGAGUCUGAACCAGCCAAGUAGCGUGAAGGAUGACUGCCCUAUGGGUUGUAAACUUCUUUUAUAAAGGAAUAAAACGAGCUACGUGUGUCUUUUUGCAUGUACUUUAUGAAUAAGGAUCGGCUAACUCCGUGCCAGCAGCCGCGGUAAUACGGAGGAUCCGAGCGUUAUCCGGAUUUAUUGGGUUUAAAGGGUGCGUAGAUGGGUUGUUAAGUCAGUUGUGAAAGUUUGCGGAUCAACCUUAGAAUUGCAAUUGAUACUGGCAGUCUGGAGUACAGUUGAGGUAGGCGGAAUGCGUGGUGUAGCGGUGAAAUGCUUAGAGAUCACAAAGAACCCCGAUUGCGAAGGCAGCUUACUAAACUGUGACUGACAUUGAUGCUCGAAAGUGUGGGUAGCAAACAGGAUUAGAUACCCGAGUAGUC